rnacentral:rRNA from 1 species
AUAAUCAUGGAGUAUAAUAAUUAAAUUUAAUAAAUUUAAUAUAACUAUUAAUAGAAUUAGGUUACUAAUAAAUUAAUAACAAUUAAUUUUAAAACCUAAAGGUAAACCUUUAUAUUAAUAAUGUUAUUUUUUAUUAUUUUUAUAAUAAGAAUAAUUAUUAAUAAUAAUAAACUAAGUGAACUGAAACAUCUAAGUAACUUAAGGAUAAGAAAUCAACAGAGAUAUUAUGAGUAUUGGUGAGAGAAAAUAAUAAAGGUCUAAUAAGUAUUAUGUGAAAAAAAUGUAAGAAAAUAGGAUAACAAAUUCUAAGACUAAAUACUAUUAAUAAGUAUAGUAAGUACCGUAAGGGAAAGUAUGAAAAUGAUUAUUUUAUAAGCAAUCAUGAAUAUAUUAUAUUAUAUUAAUGAUGUACCUUUUGUAUAAUGGGUCAGCAAGUAAUUAAUAUUAGUAAAACAAUAAGUUAUAAAUAAAUAGAAUAAUAUAUAUAUAUAAAAAAAUAUAUUAAAAUAUUUAAUUAAUAUUAAUUGACCCGAAAGCAAACGAUCUAACUAUGAUAAGAUGGAUAAACGAUCGAACAGGUUGAUGUUGCAAUAUCAUCUGAUUAAUUGUGGUUAGUAGUGAAAGACAAAUCUGGUUUGCAGAUAGCUGGUUUUCUAUGAAAUAUAUGUAAGUAUAGCCUUUAUAAAUAAUAAUUAUUAUAUAAUAUUAUAUUAAUAUUAUAUAAAGAAUGGUACAGCAAUUAAUAUAUAUUAGGGAACUAUUAAAGUUUUAUUAAUAAUAUUAAAUCUCGAAAUAUUUAAUUAUAUAUAAUAAAGAGUCAGAUUAUGUGCGAUAAGGUAAAUAAUCUAAAGGGAAACAGCCCAGAUUAAGAUAUAAAGUUCCUAAUAAAUAAUAAGUGAAAUAAAUAUUAAAAUAUUAUAAUAUAAUCAGUUAAUGGGUUUGACAAUAACCAUUUUUUAAUGAACAUGUAACAAUGCACUGAUUUAUAAUAAAUAAAAAAAAUAAUAUUUAAAAUCAAAUAUAUAUAUAUUUGUUAAUAGAUAAUAUACGGAUCUUAAUAAUAAGAAUUAUUUAAUUCCUAAUAUGGAAUAUUAUAUUUUUAUAAUAAUAAUAAAAAUAUAAAUACUGAAUAUCUAAAUAUUAUUAUUACUUUUUUUUUUAAUAAUAAUAAUAUGGUAAUAGAACAUUUAAUGAUAAUAUAUAUUAGUUAUUAAUUAAUAUAUGUAUUAAUUAAAUAGAGAAUGCUGACAUGAGUAACGAAAAAAAGGUAUAAACCUUUUCACCUAAAACAUAAGGUUUAACUAUAAAAGUACGGCCCCUAAUUAAAUUAUAUAAGAAUAUAAAUAUAUUUAAGAUGGGAUAAUCUAUAUUAAUAAAAAUUUAUCUUAAAAUAUAUAUAUUAUUAAUAAUUAUAUUAAUUAAUUAAUAAUAUAUAUAAUUAUAUUAUAUAUUAUAUUUUUAUAUAUAAUAUAUAUAAUAUAAACUAAUAAAGAUCAGGAAAUAAUUAAUGUAUACCGUAAUGUAGACCGACUCAGGUAUGUAAGUAGAGAAUAUGAAGGUGAAUUAGAUAAUUAAAGGGAAGGAACUCGGCAAAGAUAGCUCAUAAGUUAGUCAAUAAAGAGUAAUAAGAACAAAGUUGUACAACUGUUUACUAAAAACACCGCACUUUGCAGAAACGAUAAGUUUAAGUAUAAGGUGUGAACUCUGCUCCAUGCUUAAUAUAUAAAUAAAAUUAUUUAACGAUAAUUUUAUUAAAUUUAGGUAAAUAGCAGCCUUAUUAUGAGGGUUAUAAUGUAGCGAAAUUCCUUGGCCUAUAAUUGAGGUCCCGCAUGAAUGACGUAAUGAUACAACAACUGUCUCCCCUUUAAGCUAAGUGAAAUUGAAAUCGUAGUGAAGAUGCUAUGUACCUUCAGCAAGACGGAAAGACCCUAUGCAGCUUUACUGUAAUUAGAUAGAUCGAAUUAUUGUUUAUUAUAUUCAGCAUAUUAAGUAAUCCUAUUAUUAGGUAAUCGUUUAGAUAUUAAUGAGAUACUUAUUAUAAUAUAAUGAUAAUUCUAAUCUUAUAAAUAAUUAUUAUUAUUAUUAUUAUUAAUAAUAAUAAUAUGCUUUCAAGCAUAGUGAUAAAACAUAUUUAUAUGAUAAUCACUUUACUUAAUAGAUAUAAUUCUUAAGUAAUAUAUAAUAUAUAUUAUAUAUAUAUUAUAUAUAAUAUAAGAGACAAUCUCUAAUUGGUAGUUUUGAUGGGGCGUCAUUAUCAGCAAAAGUAUCUGAAUAAGUCCAUAAAUAAAUAUAUAAAAUUAUUGAAUAAAAAAAUAAUAUAUAUUAUAUAUAUUAAUUAUAAAUUGAAAUAUGUUUAUAUAAAUUUAUAUUUAUUGAAUAUAUUUUAGUAAUAGAUAAAAAUAUGUACAGUAAAAUUGUAAGGAAAACAAUAAUAACUUUCUCCUCUCUCGGUGGGGGUUCACACCUAUUUUUAAUAGGUGUGAACCCCUCUUCGGGGUUCCGGUUCCCUUUCGGGUCCCGGAACUUAAAUAAAAAUGGAAAGAAUUAAAUUAAUAUAAUGGUAUAACUGUGCGAUAAUUGUAACACAAACGAGUGAAACAAGUACGUAAGUAUGGCAUAAUGAACAAAUAACACUGAUUGUAAAGGUUAUUGAUAACGAAUAAAAGUUACGCUAGGGAUAACAGGGUAAUAUAACGAAAGAGUAGAUAUUGUAAGUUAUGUUUGCCACCUCGAUGUCGACUCAACAUUUCCUCUUGGUUGUAAAAGCUAAGAAGGGUUUGACUGUUCGUCAAUUAAAAUGUUACGUGAGUUGGGUUAAAUACGAUGUGAAUCAGUAUGGUUCCUAUCUGCUGAAGGAAAUAUUAUCAAAUUAAAUCUCAUUAUUAGUACGCAAGGACCAUAAUGAAUCAACCCAUGGUGUAUCUAUUGAUAAUAAUAUAAUAUAUUUAAUAAAAAUAAUACUUUAUUAAUAUAUUAUCUAUAUUAGUUUAUAUUUUAAUUAUAUAUUAUCAUAGUAGAUAAGCUAAGUUGAUAAUAAAUAAAUAUUGAAUACAUAUUAAAUAUGAAGUUGUUUUAAUAAGAUAAUUAAUCUGAUAAUUUUAUACUAAAAUUAAUAAUUAUAGGUUUUAUAUAUUAUUUAUAAAUAUAAUAUAAUAAUUAUUAUUAUUAAUAAAAAAAAUAUUAAUUAUA